GUAGGUGGCAAGCGUUGUCCGGAAUUAUUGGGCGUAAAGCGCGCGCAGGCGGUCCUUUAAGUCUGAUGUGAAAGCCCACGGCUCAACCGUGGAGGGUCAUUGGAAACUGGGGGACUUGAGUACAGAAGAGGAAAGCGGAAUUCCAAGUGUAGCGGUGAAAUGCGUAGAGAUUUGGAGGAACACCAGUGGCGAAGGCGGCUUUCUGGUCUGUAACUGACGCUGAGGCGCGAAAGCGUGGGGAGCAAACAGGAUUAGAUACCCUGGUAGUCCACGCCGUAAACGAUGAGUGCUUAGUGUUAGGGGGUUUCCCGCCCCCCUUAGUGCUGCAGCUAACGCAUUAAGCACUCCGCCUGGGGAGUACGGCCCGCAAGGCUG
rnacentral:rRNA from 1 species